GAUGAACGCUGGCGGCGUGCCUAAUACAUGCAAGUCGAGCGAACGGACGAGAAGCUUGUGUCUCUGAUGUUAGCGGCGGACGGGUGAGUAACACGUGGAUAACCUACCUAUAAGACUGAGAUAACUUCGGAAAACCGGAUCUAAUACCGGAUAAUAUUUUGCACCGCAUGGUUCAAAAGUGAAAGACGUUCUUGCUGUCACUGAUAGAUGGAUCCGCGCUGCAUUAGCUAGUUGUUAAGGUAACGGCUUACCAAGGCAACGAUGCAUAGCCGACCUGGGAGGGUGAUCGGCCACACUGGAACUGGGACACGGUCCAGGCUCCUGCGGGACGCAGCAGUAGGCAACCUUCCGCAAUGGGCGAAAGCCUGACGGAGCGACGCCGCGUGAGAUACGAAGGUCCUCGGAUCGUAAAACCCUGUUACGAGGGAAGAACAUAUGUGUAAGUAACUGUAGACAUCGUGACGGUACCUACACAGAAAGCACCGGCUAACUACGUG
rnacentral:rRNA from 1 species